UACGUAGGCAGCGAGCGUUGUUCGGAGUUACUGGGCGUAAAGAGUGCGUAGGCGGUGUUCCAAGUCUGUUGUGAAAUCUCCCGGCUCAACUGGGAGGGUGCGGCGGAAACUGGGACGCUGGAGUACGGGAGAGGUAAGCGGAAUCCUGGUGUAGCGGUGAAAUGCGUAGAUAUCAGGAGGAACACCUGCGGUGUAGACGGCUUACUGGACCGUAACUGACGCUGAGGCACGAAAGCGUGGGUAGCAAACAGG
rnacentral:rRNA from 1 species